ACAUUUUACCAGGUAAUUAACAGGUAAUUACCUAGUAACUACAUGAAAUUAUCUGGUAAUUACAUGAUAACUACUAAGUCAAUACUGUCUAGCUACCAGGUAGGUAACCUUCCAUCAUCAUACAAAUUUGAAGCCGAAUUGCUCUGGUAUUUCCAGGAUUUUCUCCGCUUCCUGGAACCACCACUUGCGCAGUAGCAUUGUACGCAUUCGGCGGGUGAGUCGCUGUGAUAAUGCUCGGCUCAAACAGCGUAUCGCUACGCAAUCUUCGCACACCCAUAGGCUGUAUCAAGUGUCAAUCAUAGAAAAUAAGAACCCCAAAUAGCUUUUGAAAUUGGAGCUGCACAGAAAAAAAGAAAAACUAGACAGUAUUGACUUAGUAGUUAUCAUGUAAUUACCAGAUAAUUUCAUGUUGUUACUAGGUAAUUACCUGUUAAUUACCUGGUAAUAA